rnacentral:rRNA from 1 species
GACGAACGCUGGCGGCGUGCUUAACACAUGCAAGUCGAACGGAAAGGCCCCUUUGGGGGUCCUCGAGUGGCGCACGGGUGAGUAACACGUGAGUAACCUGCCCUUGACUUCGGGAUAACUUCAGGAAACUGGGGCUAAUACCGGAUAGGAAUCCUUGCUGCAUGGUGGGGGUUGGAAAGCUUCGGCGGUUUUGGAUGGACUCGCGGCUUAUCAGCUUGUUGGUGGGGUAGUGGCUUACCAAGGCUUUGACGGGUAGCCGGCCUGAGAGGGCGACCGGCCACAUUGGGACUGAGAUACGGCCCAGACUCCUACGGGAGGCAGCAGUGGGGAAUAUUGCACAAGGGGCGGAAGCCGGAUGCAGCAACGCCGCGGGCGGGAUGACGGCCUUCGGGUUGUAAACCGCGUUCAGCAGGGGCGAAGCUUGUGGUGACGGUACCUGCAGAAGAAGCACCGGCUAACUACGUG